UACGUAGGAUGCAAGCGUUGUCCGGAAUUACUGGGCGUAAAGGGCGCGUAGGCGGCAUGACAAGUCACUUGUGAAAUCUCCGGGCUUAACUCGGAACGGCCAAGUGAAACUGUCAAGCUAGAGUGCGGAAGGGGCAAUCGGAAUUCUUGGUGUAGCGGUGAAAUGCGUAGAUAUCAAGAGGAACACCUGAGGUGAAGACGGGUUGCUGGGCCGACACUGACGCUGAUGCGCGAAAGCCAGGGGAGCAAACGGG
rnacentral:rRNA from 1 species